rnacentral:pre_miRNA from 1 species
UAUGUACUCCCUCCGUUCCAAAAUACUUGACUUCCAUUUGUCCAAAAAUGGAUGUACCUAUAUAAUAAGACAUGUCUAGAUACAUAUAUAUUUUGACAAAUAGAAGGCAUGUAGUAUUGUGCAACGGAGGGAGUAGAAU